UACGUAUGGUGCAAGCGUUAUCCGGAUUUACUGGGUGUAAAGGGAGCGCAGGCGGUGCGGCAAGUCUGGUGUGAAAGCCCGGGGCUCAACCCCGGUACUGCAUUGGAAACUGUCGUACUAGAGUGUCGGAGGGGUAAGCGGAAUUCCUAGUGUAGCGGUGAAAUGCGUAGAUAUUAGGAGGAACACCAGUGGCGAAGGCGGCUUACUGGACGAUAACUGACGCUGAGGCUCGAAAGCGUGGGGAGCAAACAGG
rnacentral:rRNA from 1 species